rnacentral:rRNA from 1 species
GACAGAGGGUGCGAGCGUUGUUCGGAAUUACUGGGCGUAAAGCGCGUGUAGGCUGUUCGGAAAGUCGGGUGUGAAAGCCCUGGGCUCAACCUAGGAAGUGCACUCGAAACUCCCGAACUGGAGUCCCGGAGAGGAAGGUGGAAUUCUCGGUGUAGAGGUGAAAUUCGUAGAUAUCGAGAGGAACAUCGGUGGCGAAGGCGGCCUUCUGGACGGUGACUGACGCUGAGACGCGAAAGCGUGGGGAGCAAACAGG